rnacentral:rRNA from 1 species
CAAUAGCGUAUAUUAAAGCUGUUGCGGUUAAAAAGCUCGUAGUUGGAUUUCUGUCAAGGACAACUGGUCCGCCCUCCGGGUGAGCACAUAGUUUGGUCUUGGCAUCUUGCUGGAAACUGUUGCUGCGCUUGGUUGUGUGGUGCAGCUUUCAGCACUUUCACUUUGAGGAAAUUGGAGUGUUUCAAGCAGGCACAUGCCUUUGGACACAGUAGCAUGGAAUAAUUAGAUUGGGCUUUUGCUCCAACUUGUUGGUUCCUGGAGCUGAGGUGAGAAUCAAUGGGGAUUGUUGGGGGCAUCCGAAUUUAGCCGUCAGAGGUGAGAUUCUUGGAUCUGCUAAAGACGGACAACUGCGAAAGCGUUUGCCCAGGAUGUUUUCAUUGA